CUUUCAGGCACAGUUUGAUAUAGGGGCCCAAAUGACGCCAAAGAACCCAGGAGCCUCAUCAGCUUGGAUUUGUACCCUCAAAUGUCGGUUUCUUUCUCUGCAGAUUUUCCUCUUACAACAGCGCUGCUGCCACAGUUUCAGACUUUGUACUGUCACAGCUCCAAAUUCACAGGAAAGCAGAGAUGGCAAAGAGAGAGGCCAACAAUUCCCAGAAGACCCAGAGAAGUAGCCAGGGUUGGCCAACCAGGAGCAGGGUGGAGAUCAGGGAAGUCUGCAGCAGCUCUCAGUGUAAGUUCUGGCUUCUCUAGCCCUGCCUAUCCUCCUUUCAUACCUUGGCCCCCUAAGACCUUCACUUUGGGGAAACUACCCAUAGACUGGGGUUCUUUCUCUACCUCCCUCUCCUUUCUAGCCCUUUUCUCUGUAGGGUCUGUAGAAAUUUCUACCUGAAGGGUCAUCUCAAGGGGUCUGCAUCCCUCUCCCUCAAGUCCAUUUGACUUAGCCUCUCUGGGAUAACUCUUCCUGGAAAGCGAAGCAGUGAGUGGUUCUAAAGAAGUGAGCGCAGAACCUGAACAAGCGAUUCAUUCCAGCAGAUGCUCAGAGAUCAAACAUCUUUGCCACAUGCUGCUUAUGAGAUGGUUAAAAUCCAGCAACUCCCCAGUCAGUAGAAGUGUGCUUUACAAAGGCUCAGAG
rnacentral:lncRNA from 1 species